rnacentral:rRNA from 1 species
CCUACGGGAGGCAGCAGUGAGGAAUAUUGGUCAAUGGGCGGGAGCCUGAACCAGCCAAGCCGCGUGAAGGAAGGAGGUACCGAGCAUUGUAAACUUCUUUUGUCAGGGAACAAAGGCGGGCACGAGUGCCUGGAUGAGGGUACCUGAAGAAAAAGCAUCGGCUAACUCCGUGCCAGCAGCCGCGGUAAUACGGAGGAUGCGAGCGUGAUCCGGAUUUAUUGGGUUUAAAGGGGGCGUAGGCGGGCUGUUAAGUCAGCGGUAAAAGCCCGGGGCUCAACCCCGGCGAGCCGUUGAAACUGGCGGUCUUGAGUUGGAGAGAGGUACGCGGAAUGCGCGGUGUAGCGGUGAAAUGCUUAGAUAUCGCGCAGAACCCCGAUUGCGAAGGCAGCGUACCGGCUCCGCUCUGACGCUGAGGCACGAAAGCGUGGGUAUCGAACAGGAUUAGAUACCCUAGUAGUC